AUUGAACGCUGGCGGCGUGCUUAACACAUGCAAGUCGAUCGGUAACAGGUGUAGCAAUACAUGCUGACGAGAGGCGGACGGGUGAGGAACGCUUGGGAAUCUGCCUAUCAGCGGGGGACAACCCGGGGAAACUCGGGCUAAUACCGCAUACGCUCUACGGAGGAAAGCCGGGGACCGCAAGGCCUGGCACUGAUAGAUGAGCCCACGGCGGAUUAGCUAGUCGGCGGGGUAACGGCCCACCAAGGCGACGAGCCGUAGCUGGUCUGAGAGGUCGAGCAGCCAAACCUGAACUGAGACACGGUCCGGAGUCCUACGGGAGGAAGCAGUGGGGAAUAUUGGACAAUGGGGGAAACCCUGAUCCAGCGACGUCGCGUGGGUGAAGAAGGCCUGCGGGUUGUAAAGCCCUUUCGGUAGGGAAGAAAUCUCUUGCUCUAACAAAGCAGGAGUUUGACUUAACCUACAUAAGAAGCACCGGCUAACUCUGUGCCAGCCGCCGCAGUAACAC
rnacentral:rRNA from 1 species